GCCACUUUAAAUCCUAACCGCCACCUAUGAUUCUAGCCACCAUUUAAAACCCUAGCCACCACUUAAAACCCUAGCUGCUACCUUGAUAACUUUUUUUCAUCCUUUUGCUGUCCUUUGACCAUUAACAACUUAUCUAAGAUAAUAUCUUUUACCAUCUAACUUAUCCUCCAUUUAUUUUAACACUCCCACUUUGCUAUUGGUCAAAGGCUAAUAAAUCUAAUCCCUUUGUUAAUUUAUAAUAUCUAUCUUUCACUAAUGCUUUUGUGAGUAAAUCAGCAAGCAUGUCUUCCAUUGCACAAUAUUUCAUGUCAAUUAUUCCCA
rnacentral:lncRNA from 1 species